UGGCGCACGGGUGCGUAACGCGUGGGAAUCUGCCCUUGGGUUCGGGAUAACAGUUGGAAACGACUGCUAAUACCGGAUGAUGAUUUCGGUCCAAAGAUUUAUCGCCCAGGGAUGAGCCCGCGUCGGAUUAGCUAGUUGGUGGGGUAAAAGCCUACCAAGGCGACGAUCCGUAGCUGGUCUGAGAGGAUGAUCAGCCACACUGGGACUGAGACACGGCCCAG
rnacentral:rRNA from 1 species